GAUUAGCCUGCGUCCGAUUAGCUAGUUGGUGGGGUAAGGGCCUACCAAGGCGACGAUCGGUAGCUGGUCUGAGAGGAUGACCAGCCACACUGGAACUGAGACACGGUCCAGACUCCUACGGGAGGCAGCAGUGGGGAAUAUUGGACAAUGGGGGCAACCCUGAUCCAGCAAUGCCGCGUGUGUGAAGAAGGCCUGAGGGUUGUAAAGCACUUUCAGUGGGGAGGAGGGUUGAUAGGUUAAGAGCUGAUUAACUGGACGUUACCCACAGAAGAAGCACCGGCUAACUCCGUGCCAGCAGCCGCGGUAAUACGGAGGGUGCGAGCGUUAAUCGGAAUUACUGGGCGUAAAGGGUGCGUAGGUGGUUGAUUAAGUUAUCUGUGAAAUUCCUGGGCUUAACCUGGGACGGUCAGAUAAUACUGGUUGACUCGAGUAUGGGAGAGGGUAGUGGAAUUUCCGGUGUAGCGGUGAAAUGCGUAGAGAUCGGAAGGAACGCCAGUGGCGAAGGCGGCUACCUGGCCUAAUACUGACACUGAGGCACGAAAGCGUGGGGAGCAAACAGGAUUAGAUACCCUGGUAGUCCACGCUGUAAACGAUGUCAACUAGCUGUUGG
rnacentral:rRNA from 1 species